GAUUAAGUUAUUAAGGGCGCACGGUGGAUGCCUUGGCACUAGAAGCCGAUGAAGGACGUUACUAACGACGAUAUGCUUUGGGGAGCUGUAAGUAAGCUUUGAUCCAGAGAUUUCCGAAUGGGGAAACCCAGCAUGAGUUAUGUCAUGUUAUCGAUAUGUGAAUACAUAGCAUAUCAGAAGGCACACCCGGAGAACUGAAACAUCUUAGUACCCGGAGGAAGAGAAAGAAAAUUCGAUUCCCUUAGUAGCGGCGAGCGAAACGGGAAGAGCCCAAACCAACAAGCUUGCUUGUUGGGGUUGUAGGACACUCUAUACGGAGUUACAAAGGACGACAUUAGACGAAUCAUCUGGAAAGAUGAAUCAAAGAAGGUAAUAAUCCUGUAGUCGAAAAUGUUGUCUCUCUUGAGUGGAUCCUGAGUACGACGGAGCACGUGAAAUUCCGUCGGAAUCUGGGAGGACCAUCUCCUAAGGCUAAAUACUCUCUAGUGACCGAUAGUGAACCAGUACCGUGAGGGAAAGGUGAAAAGCACCCCGGAAGGGGAGUGAAAUAGAACCUGAAACCGUGUGCUUACAAGUAGUCAGAGCCCGUUAAUGGGUGAUGGCGUGCCUUUUGUAGAAUGAACCGGCGAGUUACGAUUUGAUGCAAGGUUAAGCAGUAAAUGUGGAGCCGUAGCGAAAGCGAGUCUGAAUAGGGCGUUUAGUAUUUGGUCGUAGACCCGAAACCAGGUGAUCUACCCUUGGUCAGGUUGAAGUUCAGGUAACACUGAAUGGAGGACCGAACCGACUUACGUUGAAAAGUGAGCGGAUGAACUGAGGGUAGCGGAGAAAUUCCAAUCGAACCUGGAGAUAGCUGGUUCUCUCCGAAAUAGCUUUAGGGCUAGCCUCAAGUGAUGAUUAUUGGAGGUAGAGCACUGUUUGGACGAGGGGCCCCUCUCGGGUUACCGAAUUCAGACAAACUCCGAAUGCCAAUUAAUUUAACUUGGGAGUCAGAACAUGGGUGAUAAGGUCCGUGUUCGAAAGGGAAACAGCCCAGACCACCAGCUAAGGUCCCAAAAUAUAUGUUAAGUGGAAAAGGAUGUGGCGUUGCCCAGACAACUAGGAUGUUGGCUUAGAAGCAGCCAUCAUUUAAAGAGUGCGUAAUAGCUCACUAGUCGAGUGACACUGCGCCGAAAAUGUACCGGGGCUAAACAUAUUACCGAAGCUGUGGAUUGUCCUUUGGACAAUGGUAGGAGAGCGUUCUAAGGGCGUUGAAGCAUGAUCGUAAGGACAUGUGGAGCGCUUAGAAGUGAGAAUGCCGGUGUGAGUAGCGAAAGACGGGUGAGAAUCCCGUCCACCGAUUGACUAAGGUUUCCAGAGGAAGGCUCGUCCGCUCUGGGUUAGUCGGGUCCUAAGCUGAGGCCGACAGGCGUAGGCGAUGGAUAACAGGUUGAUAUUCCUGUACCACCUAUAAUCGUUUUAAUCGAUGGGGGGACGCAGUAGGAUAGGCGAAGCGUGCGAUUGGAUUGCACGUCUAAGCAGUAAGGCUGAGUAUUAGGCAAAUCCGGUACUCGUUAAGGCUGAGCUGUGAUGGGGAGAAGACAUUGUGUCUUCGAGUCGUUGAUUUCACACUGCCGAGAAAAGCCUCUAGAUAGAAAAUAGGUGCCCGUACCGCAAACCGACACAGGUAGUCAAGAUGAGAAUUCUAAGGUGAGCGAGCGAACUCUCGUUAAGGAACUCGGCAAAAUGACCCCGUAACUUCGGGAGAAGGGGUGCUCUUUAGGGUUAACGCCCAGAAGAGCCGCAGUGAAUAGGCCCAAGCGACUGUUUAUCAAAAACACAGGUCUCUGCUAAACCGUAAGGUGAUGUAUAGGGGCUGACGCCUGCCCGGUGCUGGAAGGUUAAGAGGAGUGGUUAGCUUCUGCGAAGCUACGAAUCGAAGCCCCAGUAAACGGCGGCCGUAACUAUAACGGUCCUAAGGUAGCGAAAUUCCUUGUCGGGUAAGUUCCGACCCGCACGAAAGGCGUAACGAUUUGGGCACUGUCUCAACGAGAGACUCGGUGAAAUCAUAGUACCUGUGAAGAUGCAGGUUACCCGCGACAGGACGGAAAGACCCCGUGGAGCUUUACUGUAGCCUGAUAUUGAAAUUCGGCACAGCUUGUACAGGAUAGGUAGGAGCCUUUGAAACGUGAGCGCUAGCUUACGUGGAGGCGCUGGUGGGAUACUACCCUAGCUGUGUUGGCUUUCUAACCCGCACCACUUAUCGUGGUGGGAGACAGUGUCAGGCGGGCAGUUUGACUGGGGCGGUCG
rnacentral:rRNA from 1 species